GACGAACGCUGGCGGCGUGCUUAACACAUGCAAGUCGAACGGAAAGGCCCUUCGGGGUACCCGUGUGGCGAACGGGGGAGUAAAACGUUGGUGAUCUGCCCUGCACUUUGGUAUAAGCCUGGGAAACUGGGUCUAAUACCGAGCAGGACCACGCGCUUCACGGCGUGUGGGGGCAAGCGUUUGCGGUGUGGGAUGGGCCCGCGGCCUAUCAGCUUGUUGUUGGGGUAAUGGCCUUCCAAGGCCACGACGGGUAGCCGGCCUGAGAGGGUGACCGGCCACACUGGGACUGAGAUACGGCCCAGACUCCUACGGGAGGCAGCAGUGGGGAAUAUUGCCCAAUGGGCGCAAGCCUGAUGCAGCGACGCCGCGUGAGGGAUGACGGCCUUCGGGUUGUAAACCUCUUUCGAUAGGGACGAAGCGCAAGUGACGGUACCUAUAGAAGAAGCACCGGCCAACUACGUG
rnacentral:rRNA from 1 species